UACGUAGGGUCCGAGCGUUGUCCGGAAUUACUGGGCGUAAAGAGCUCGUAGGCGGUCUGUCGCGUCGGCUGUGAAAACUCGGGGCUCAACCCCGAGCCUGCAGUCGAUACGGGCAGACUAGAGUCCGGCAGGGGAGACUGGAAUUCCUGGUGUAGCGGUGAAAUGCGCAGAUAUCAGGAGGAACACCGGUGGCGAAGGCGGGUCUCUGGGCCGGAACUGACGCUGAGGAGCGAAAGCGUGGGGAGCGAACAGG
rnacentral:rRNA from 1 species